GUACCUUUUGUAUAAUGGGUCAGCGACUUAUAUUCUGUAGCAAGGUUAACCGAAUAGGGGAGCCGAAGGGAAACCGAGUCUUAACUGGGCGUUAAGUUGCAGGGUAUAGACCCGAAACCCGGUGAUCUAGCCAUGGGCAGGUUGAAGGUUGGGUAACACUAACUGGAGGACCGAACCGACUAAUGUUGAAAAAUUAGCGGAUGACUUGUGGCUGGGGGUGAAAGGCCAAUCAAACCGGGAGAUAGCUGGUUCUCCCCGAAAGCUAUUUAGGUAGCGCCUCGUGAAUUCAUCUCCGGGGGUAGAGCACUGUUUCGGCAAGGGGGUCAUCCCGACUUACCAACCCGAUGCAAACUGCGAAUACCGGAGAAUGUUAUCACGGGAGACACACGGCGGGUGCUAACGUCCGUCGUGAAGAGGGAAACAACCCAGACCGCCAGCUAAGGUCCCAAAGUCAUGGUUAAGUGGGAAACGAUGUGGGAAGGCCCAGACAGCCAGGAUGUUGGCUUAGAAGCAGCCAUCAUUUAAAGAAAGCGUAAUAGCUCACUGGUCGAGUCGGCCUGCGCGGAAGAUGUAACGGGGCUAAACCAUGCACCGAAGCUGCGGCAGCGACGCUGAUGCGUUGUUGGGUAGGGGAGCGUUCUGUAAGCCUGCGAAGGUGUGCUGUGAGGCAUGCUGGAGGUAUCAGAAGUGCGAAUGCUGACAUAAGUAACGAUAAAGCGGGUGAAAAGCCCGCUCGCCGGAAGACCAAGGGUUCCUGUCCAACGUUAAUCGGGGCAGGGUGAGUCGACCCCUAAGGCGAGGCCGAAAGGCGUAGUCGAUGGGAAACAGGUUAAUAUUCCUGUACUUGGUGUUACUGCGAAGGGGGGACGGAGAAGGCUAUGUUGGCCGGGCGACGGUUGUCCCGGUUUAAGCGUGUAGGC
rnacentral:rRNA from 1 species